rnacentral:lncRNA from 1 species
GAACGUGAGAGGGUAGAAGAAAGGCUUUUUUCCUCCUCUGCUGACCUAAAGGAAAUAAUACGGAAUAUUGGAACAAGUGCUGAUCAAAGAGGUUAAAGGGAAGCAUCUCUGGAAUGCCUCCUGAGCCAGGCAUCACGACAGGUGGAGCUCCCAAGACACAGUCUCUGCCCAUCAGAGUUCAUCCUGCGUGGAAGACACACGCUGACAGGCAGAGGCCAGUUUCCAGCCAGCUGUGCGGGGGCUCAGGGGCCACGGCGUGGGGAGCCCUCCGGAGGCCGAGAGCUGAUGGGAUCCGGGGAGACUCUCUCACUGAAGUUCAGGUCAGAGUUCAGCCUCGUCUGCGCAUAGAGGGAUGAAGACGGUUCAGAGGUGAGGAGAGAGGAACUGAGGACAUCCAGGCAGUGGGGACCACACUGUGGAGGGCAUUCAUGUAGGCAAGAAGGAACCAUUUGGGUGUUUCAUCUUCAAUAACUUGUUAUAAGAAAGAGAGUUUAUCUUUAAUGACGAAAAAUCAGAAAAAAUGGAAAAGUAUGAAGAGGAAGAUAAACAUCACUCAUGAUCUCAUCUUUCAAAACCUUUGUGGUUUUUUUCCCUUUUCUUCGGUUGGGGAGAGACGUUGUCAAAGUGAUGUUUUUGGGAACAUUAACAUGACAGUGACAAUUUAGGAUGUACUGAGGGAAGAGCCAAGGCAGGGAGACUAUUUAGGAAGCUAAUUCAGGGGUCACUGGGCAAAAUGGUGGUGGUAGCCAUGACCAAAAGGAGGAAGGGAUGGAUCAGAGGCAAUCAGAAAUGAGGAGUGAGUAAGUCCGGAUGAAUUUAGACGUGGAGAGUGAGAGUUGAGAUAGAGGAGUUAAAGGUGAUAUAGAGAGUUCCGCUGGAGGAUGGGAGAAUACAUCACUCAUUUAUUUCAUCCAUUCAUUCAUUCAACAGAAAUGUAUUGAGUACUGACUACCCUCAUGGAACUUACAGUCUAAUUGGCAGGGGGGCAAGGGAAAGAGACAGAUAAAAAAGCAAAAUAAAUAACUAUGAGACAUACCGUGUUAGAUGGUG